AGACCGCCAUAGCUAUCGGACGACAGCUCAAAUUCCUAUCCACAGCCUCUCCCUCGUAUUCUCGCUGUCGUAGCCACGGUCUCCACCAUCGCGCCUCCCCCUCAAAUCCUCACCGUCGUAGCCACCGUUGCCACGCCCAGGCUCCAACUAUUGGAUGGGAGUAUUCCAGUUUUUUUAAUCCAAAAGUACCUUGUGCGGAAGUUGGACUUCAUGAGUGAUGAUGAGGACAACACAAUUUCCAAAUGGAAGACAAAAAAUUAAUUAAUGUGGAGCACUGAAGAGGAAGAUAUUCAUAAAUUCUCAGCAACGGCUAACAAAAAUAUGCCUUGGAGGAAGAUCUUAGACUUUGGUCGUCAUGUGUUUCAUCCAACCUGUAUCCCAGCUGAUCUCAAAGAUAAGUGGAGAACCAUGUGUGGCAUAGAUAAGGCUAGAAGCUGGUCACUUGAAGGCUCAUUAAAUUUGAGAAACUGGUUUGGCUAUGGUGAUAUAUGUGAUGUUUCAUUGGUUUAUGGCUAGGACCAAACAUCGGAUAUUAGCAUUGGUUUGUCUUUGCCUAAGUUCAAAGGGUUGACUACUACAAUGACUGCUAUAUCGGAUAAAUGAGCAUUGGAUAUUAUUUUUUAGUUUACUAUUUGUUGGUUAUAGGUGGUAGAUUUUCAUUGCAUGUAUCGCAUUU